rnacentral:rRNA from 1 species
UACGGAGGAUGCAAGCGUUGUUCGGAAUCACUGGGCUUAAAGCGCGUGUAGGUGGGCUGUCAGGCGCCAUGGUGAAAUCCCCGGUCUCAACCCGGGAACUGCCUGGCGAACCGACAUUCUUGAGGCAGGUAGAGGUGGCUGGAACGACAGGUGGAGCGGUGAAAUGCGUAGAUAUCUGUUGGAACGCCGGCGGCGAAAGCGAGCCACUGGGCCUGUCCUGACACUGAGACGCGAAAGCGUGGGGAGCAAACAGG